UAAGGUGCAAUGCUGUCAAGUUUUGAGGGGUUUUUCUUGUGGAGUUCAGUUUUAGGAUUUCAAAGUCCAGUGUCUACAAAGGUUUAGGGCGCAAUGUCGUUGUCCCGAGCAAUUCUUUUCGAUUCGGCGCAACAUCCGCAGCAUGACUGAUUCGGAAUCCGUUUAGCAGACGCAAACACAGUCACCCAAUUCCAUAUUACGGUGCUCUUAUUGUGUUUGAACUUGACAAUUAGUAGGAUCGAUUUGCAGAGAUGGUGAGAUUGGCAAAUGCUUUUUUUUCCAUUCACGACCUUUCAAUGGUGCCCUGUCGAAAUGAUGCGAUCGAGUUCAGUGAUAUGUGUUUCACUGAGGGUUUUUCUGUAGCUUUCUUGGGAUGCUGCCAAGCCAGGUUUCGAGGGGUCUGGGUAUGGGUUACCGAUUAUCAUUCUCGUUCAGUCUUGUCCCUAAACGCGAAUUCCGAGGGCUGUUCUCGAGAUGGGAGUUUCGUUUCAGAGGCUGAUGACAUUGGGUCUCGUGGGUGAGACAGUUUAAUCUCUGUCACCAGACCAUUGGAAGUUGGAAAGAUGACGAUUUCGAGUCUUUUUGGGUGGGACCACUCUUAGAGAUUUGGAGUAGUGCGUUGAGCUUGUGAGCGCGGGAUCUGCAACCUCUCGAUCUACGCACCUGAAAUCCAAAGGGAGUGGAGUUUGUGGUUUGAAAACCAUCCUCGUCUUUCUCAAGAGGGCGUGGAUUUAGAUUUCUUCAAUUAGGCUAGUAAUGAAAAGCAAUUUGCCUAGACACUCACAGUCUCGGCCCAUGUGGUGCUUCUGCGGGUUGAUGUCUACUUUGUUGGGCAACGACGCUUCUAAGUGUGUAGAUUACUAAGGCAUGAAGAACUUGUCUGAAGCCGGCGAUUUUCUGGAAUUGUUUGAGGUUGUAGUGAUUUUGAGUGCAUGUAUGACGGUCUUGUUGUUACCUGCUGGGCUGUUAGGCAUAAGCUGAGGCGGCGAAUGCUCAGUUGUAGGUCCUUCAGCGAGAUUUUUAGUGUUACGUGCAUUGUGAUCCUCAAACAUUCUGUUUUAGGAGGUCCAAUUUUUUUUGUUGGUCUCUUCCGUGGCCCAUAAGGUUUCGCGAUAGAAUUUCUUUUCUGCACUACACAUUAUUUGGGCGUUUACUUAGCGUUUGUAACUGAAGCUGAAGCUCAAUGCCAAAUCUUCGGUGAGAUCCAAAAUUUGCAAUUUAUUUCUUAGUUCAGGAGACUAUCUGUGAAGAUUCGAAGAGCACAAGAGUAGUGUCCUUAUUUUGGCACUAGAUGUGUGUAACUCACAUUCAUCUUAAUAGAAGACCGGGUUGCAUUCUUCACGCAGCCUUUGGUUGUAUACAGAAGUUUCCUAGUGUUAUAUUGUCCGCCCAUGAUGUGCCUAUUGCUCGACACACUGCAAAUGUGUUGCACACCGUUUUCUGUCACAUCGCAUCAUAGAGAGAGGCAGCAAUAAGGACAAUUUAUGGGCAUGAAGGUUUUAGCCUAGUACACCAAGACCGGGGGCACUGUAUAACAUCCAUGGUGGCGUUCAUGGACUCUGUUUAAAACGGUAUAUAAUCAUGUUAGGCAGCAACGCAUGUGAUCGUAAAUCAUAAUCCUUGGAAUAGGAAUCCCUUGUUCUACUAGCAUACACCUAACGUUGUAUAUAUGUUUUAGGUGAUAAGGUAGUGGGACAGUUACACGGAUUAAUGUUACAGGUAUUGGGGUGGCUUGCACUGAGGGUCGUUGCACUCUAAAUGUCAACUUCGAAGUCUUCAGCACCAUAAACAAGUACCCAUUUGCAUAGGGUAUCCCAACAAGUUCUACACGUAGCCUCUCGUCAACUAGUGGUGUAAGGUUCCGAGGUUUUCUGGCAGGGCUAUUAUCCUCAUUCUUGCUUGUAGUUUUGAGUCAGUUUUUUUCUAAUUAUUCCCGUCAUAUCACUCUGUAGUCGAAGUACAGUUACUCCUCAAGUAUAAUUUGUGCAGAUCUGAUUUGUUCAGAAAAGUUUUAGUUUUCAGUUCUAGAUGCCAAAGUAUAUUUUUAUUCCUGUUUUAAGGCGAUUGUCCAUUAAAUAAAAUAUUGACUUCAGCAUG